GACGAACGCUGGCGGCGUGCUUAACACAUGCAAGUCGAGCGGUAAGGCCCUUUUGGGGGUACACGAGCGGCGAACGGGUGAGUAACACGUGGGUGACCUGCCCUCAGCUCUGGGAUAAGCCUGGGAAACUGGGUCUAAUACUGGAUAUGACCUUUCCUCGCAUGGGGUUGGGUGGAAAGUUUUUCGGCUGGGGAUGGGCCCGCGGCCUAUCAGCUUGUUGGUGGGGUGAUGGCCUACCAGGGCGACGACGGGUAGCCGGCCUGAGAGGGCGAUCGGCCACACUGGGACUGAGACACGGCCCAGACUCCUACGGGAGGCAGCAGUGGGGAAUAUUGCGCAAUGGGCGGAAGCCUGACGCAGCGACGCCGCGUGGGGAUGACGGCC
rnacentral:rRNA from 1 species